GUGUCGGUGGCGAUAGCGGUUGGGAAACGCCCGGACCCAUUCCGAACCCGGAAGCUAAGCCAACCCACGCCGAUGGUACUGCACCCGGGAGGAUGUGGGAGAGUAGGACACCGCCGACCAC
rnacentral:rRNA from 1 species